AUCUUAGUAGUUUAUAAUUAAAACCUUAAUUUGUGGUAUUAAAGAAUACUCCUAAGAUC
rnacentral:tRNA from 1 species